AUGAUAGCAAAGCUGAAAUUUAAAGGAAUUGACGGGAGGGCACCAUCAGGCUUAAUUUGACUCAAAACGAGAAAACUCACCCAAUCCAGACACCGGUAGGAUUGACAUAUCGAUAACUUUUUCUCGAUUCGCUGUGUGGUGGAGCAUGGACAUUUUUAGUUGGUGAAGCGAUCCAUCUGAUUGAGACUCUGACCUGCUAACUAGUGCGCUGAUGUGUGUGUUUAAUCAAUUGCGGAUUCGGCGUUCAUAGCACUCGGGUCUUGGUCAGUUUUAUCACCCACUUCUGAAAGGGACGGGUGGCAGAAAGACACACAAGGCGGAGUGAUGACAGGUCUGUGAUGCCCUUAGAUGUCCGAGGCUGCACGCGCUCAAAAACUGGCGGUAUCUGCAGGGACUUCACACCGGCCCGAGAAACCUCUUAAAUGCCUCCUGUGAUAGGGAUCGGGGCCUGUAACCAACCCCGUGAACGAGGAAUUCCCAGUAGGCACGAGUCAAAGUCGAUCACCUCCCCGCCCUUUGUACAUACCGCUCGUCACUACUACCGAAUGAACGGUCCGGUGAAAUCCUCGGAUCUGGCCGGCGACAACACCAGGAAGCACGUGGCGCAACGGUCGUCAGCAACCCUGUUGCUGUUGUUACCGUUUUCCGCGUAUGCCGUACUUAUUUCUGUCUUGCCUGGAGAAGACGACCGAACCCGAUCGUUUAGAGGAAGUGGAAGUUGUAACACAGUUUCUGUAGGUGAACCUGCAGAAGGAUCAUU